GACGAACGCUGGCGGCGUGCUUAACACAUGCAAGUCGAACGGAAAGGCCCUGCUUUUGUGGGGUGCUCGAGUGGCGAACGGGUGAGUAACACGUGAGUAACCUGCCCUUGACUUUGGGAUAACUUCAGGAAAAUGGGGCUAAUACCGGAUAGGAGCUCCUGCUGCAUGGUGGGGGUUGGAAAGUUUCGGCGGUUGGGGAUGGACUCGCGGCUUAUCAGCUUGUUGGUGGGGUAGUGGCUUACAAAGGCUUUGACGGGUAGCCGGCCUGAGAGGGUGACCGGCCACAUUGGGACUGAGAUACGGCCCGGACGCCUACGGGAGGCAGGGGUGGGGAAUAUGGCACAAAGGGCGGAAGCCGGAGGCAGCAACGCCGCGUCCGGAAUGACGGCCUUCGGGUGGUAAACCGCUUUCACCUGUGACGAAGCGUGAUUGACGUAAAUGGUGAAAGAGGCACCGGCAAACUACGU
rnacentral:rRNA from 1 species